rnacentral:rRNA from 1 species
UACGGAAGGGGCAAGCGUUGUUCGGAAUCAUUGGGCGUAAAGGGCGCGUAGGUGGUCCUGUAUGUCUACCGUGAAAGCGUACGGCUCAACCGUAUUUUGUCGGUAGAAACUGCAGGACUUGAGGCUGGGAGGGGCUGGUGGAAUUCCCUGUGUAGCGGUGAAAUGCGUAGAGAUGGGGGAGAACACUCGUGGCGAAGGCGGCCAGCUAGACCAGUUCUGACACUGAGGCGCGACAGCGUGGGGAGCAAACAGG